rnacentral:snRNA from 1 species
AUUCAGAACAUGGGCCGUUCUUACAGUGUACUCCCUGUACACCAAGUCAGAACCGUAGGACUCACUGUUCACCCAGGGCGAGGCUUAGCCAUUGCAAUCCAGCUGUGAUGACCCCUGCAAAUUGAUUGCAUAAUUUCUGGUAGUGGGGGACUGCAUUUGCGCUCUCCCCUG